AGAUGCCCCCCCAUGGGGGUCUCACAGAGAUUUGAGCUUCUAGGUCGUUGGAUCUUGGCACCAGCUCUUAGGCAGUGGAUCUUGUCCGUCCAGUCUGGUGCAGCCUCCCAUUCGCUGCCCCUAGAUCAAGCCAUGCAACGGCCGCAGUCUACCCGCAUGCAGCUGCGCUCGGGACCCACGUUUCUCCGGGUCCACUCGUCAUUCGCAUGGGGUAACUUUUGGUUGGGUCAGGCGUGACCGGAGCGUGAGAUAGCCAGCGGGCGAAGCCUCCCCCAAUCUGCGUCCUCUCCUUUCUCCCCAAUCCCCUCUCCUUCUCCACCCAGGCAUCCUCCUCCCACCCUCUUGCUCGGCCGACCGCCCCCGCCUUCUCCACCCAGCCGAUUGCGGCUCCACCGGCCGGAGGCCACGGCGGCCGGAUGACACCGAGAUCGACGAGGAAUGGGGAGGCGGCGCGCAAGCUCGAGGUGGAAGGAGACCAUGGUGGCUAGGGUUUCUCGAUGCGCGUGGGGAGGGCGCCGCCAGGCCAUUGACGAGCACUCUCGCGCUCCCAUCACCAUCCGCCGGCGUGUCUCCGGCGAGAGGAGGAGGCCACUGUUGACGAGCACGAUGAGGAUGAGGUCGCGCGGGGGAAGACAUAGUCGGGCUUGCAUGAGGUGCUUGGCCUCCACUGAUGCGUCCUCAACUGCGUGGUGAGAAGUGGCCGCGGCAUCUGGCCGUCGGUGCGGCUCCGGUCGUGUUUAGUUAAGUCCAGAUUGAAGUGGGUCUGCCUUUUUAUUCUCCUUUUCCCCAUGUUUGACUCCUCUUUCUUUCCUGAUGUGCAGCGACCAACACCAAGAGGAAAGCGACAAAUCAACUAGAGAAUUAGCCUGGACAAGUAUAUGAGUGAGAAAAGUUACAAGAAAAGGAUUUCUAGGAGCGUGUCGACCAUAACCAAAAGGAUGACCAUGACCAACAAAGAUGAUUUUGCUGCAGACUGCAUGUUUGAUGAGGGAGAUGGACCGGGGAAGAAGGCGUUGGGGCUGUGGUGGGCGGCUAGCGGCGAGGACGGGGUCGACCGGCAAGCUGCAAGGCAGCGGAGGAGGUAGAGAAGAAGAAAUGGCGGCUUCCAGAGCACCGAUUCGUUCUCUCUCUCUCUCUCUCUCUCUCCCUCUCUCCCUCCCUCCCUCCCUCCCUCCCUCCCUCUCUGGUUCAUAUGAGUUUCCAUCGUGGCAGAGUUAAGAGCGGAGGCAGACUCUUCAUGUUUGAUUUAGCUCCCAAAACAUCUCAUAUAGUGUGUGCAAGAUCCAUUUUUACCUUUGCAUACAACGUGUUUGAUUAAAAUCCUACAUAAGAGUAAUGGAUGUAAUAUCUAUAUUCCAUCUAGCUGAAGCUGCAGCAGAUGUAUAAGAGAUAGUAGGUCGCUAGCUAAUUUGACUAAGCAACAGAUCAAGUUUCUGUUCCUAUCCUUCCUGAAUGCGCUGCGCGAAAUAGAACAAUGGGGAAAUCGUUACUAUAGCUUAGAGCUGAGAUCCGUGCAGUGGCAGGACCUAGAUGCAACGCUUGACUAUACACUUUUUGUUCCUUUUUAGAUGUGCAUCUCUGCCUGCUAUGUGAUAUCCCAUUCGCGCUAGCAUUUGUAGUGUCUCCAUGAUGUACUCAUCUCCCAAUUUUGUUACUGCUGCAAAGACACCAUCUUGCUUGCUUAGCGCAGACCAUUGGAAGAUUUGAUUGGGUCGGCGCCUUGCUGGAAUUGCCGUGUCAGUUGGCCAUGGCUGCUCUCGUGGUCUGCUGCCUGGUUGCGUUCUUGAUUAAUGUGUGACACGAGUCUGACAAUGAAUGUUGUGCUGCGCCCGGAUGAACUGGGAUAAACGCCCUGGCGUUCAUGUUCGAUGGCAUCAACUUCUGAGCAUCCGACUACACGUACUAUGCUUACUCCAUGGUUGGGGUGGUGUCCAUAUCCAUACACGAUGAGGAUGAUGUCGCACGGGGGAAGACAGAUCUGGCAGCAAAGAGAGCCACCAUGGGCGAGGACAUGAAGCCCUUUGAUGAUCAAGUUGGCUAUAUUCUAGGAGUCUGGAUUGGUUAUACAUUUGAAUUCUCCUAGAAGGCUCCGCCAACGCGUCUCCGACGAGCGUGAGAGGAGGCCGCUGCUUCUGUGCACACGUUUUUCUAUAAAUUUUGCUCCAGGUGCGGAUUGUGGUGGAGGGAAAAAACAGUUUUAAUAAUAUACCUGGUUCGGUGUAUUACCCUGGUGGUGACACUGCCAAGGACUUGUGACUUCAGCUUGUUGCAAAUGGCUUUGCCAAAUAUGCUCGAGUGGAGUGUAAAAAAGGAAUGGCUGCGGACUGGAUUUAAGCUGCCAGUAACUAACUCAAAGUCAAUACGUGACCAGAAAUUCAGUAGAAAAGGUUGUUGUUACGGAAGUUCAUGAUGGUUGAAAGUUUUAUGCCCAGACAAUAGGUGACUAGAGAGUUUCAUCCAUUCAACAGCACUUGCAUCAUUGUUACUUAAAGAGGCACUGGUCAGUGGUGCUUUUAAUUAAUCCUGUGAAGGGAGAUAGUCCUUGCUCAGUUUAGCCUUGAGAACUCCUGGAAUAGAGCAAUGCUUGGUCAGCCUGUUUUUGAUGAUCCAAGCCUUCCGCAUGCCCCAUCUACUACGUAUUCUUUUGGAGAUUAUUUGAUGUCCCAUCUACUACACCAGGCACAGGCUACUGGGGCAGAACCUCAGGCUGAUGGACCCCCUAAGAAGAAGAAGGGAGUACUUCGACAGUCGUCCAACAGAUUAUAAGGAACCUCAAAGGAUAAUCAAAAUUCUUUUUAGAAUAUUACUCAAUCUUAUGCUAGAAGAACUUGAUGUUUCAAAUGAUGAAUAACAUCUUGAGCUAUGAUCAUACACCAAAGCGUACAUCUAAAUCUACCAGGAAUUGCAUCACCAAAGAGUAUCUUUUAUUAAUUCGCAUGUGCAUUACACAAUUUUCCUACGGUUUACUCCUGAGAGUUGUGUCAAGGGGUGACCUCCAGGAGGCUAUUAAAAGUGCUUUCACUUGAUGAAAACGGGAACCAAGUACAUAAACAAGGAACAAAAUGUACCAGGAAUUGUUUUAAUUAUAAUCUCCAAACAACAUAUAUGACUUGCUUUGUGUGUGGGUAGGAAAAGUUUCUGCUCUUUCAUGGAAUGUGCGCUGCUGUUCCAAGUGUGCGCUUUUGUACAGAUGCAAGCUCAAGGUUGAUAUAUAAUCUCUAUGUGAUAUGCAUUGGUCUACUAAAUUGAGCCUGUAAUAGAUUCUUCGGCUAUCAAUAUGCGUUGCGUCACCAAGUAGGCGACCGAGGAAAUCUCUCGCUGAAUUGAUAAAAUUUAAUCUCUUGCAUGCGACCGUUUGGAGAAAUGUCUGGAUAAAAUGAGGAUGAGCUACUGUUCGUAAAAUUAGAACCAAGGUUGCAUCUAUAAAAUUGAUUUGUACUCAUGUUGUGUUAUUGUGUAAGGUUGUUUAUAGCCUUUUCAGUUCAGCUAUUUUGUUCCUUUUGAAUACCUUUUAACACGCAAUGUGUUAUCACCCCUUAUCUGAUUAGGUUACAUUGAUAUGUUUGUAAUAAUUAUGUUUAUGGUGUUCUAUUUUUUUCUUAGCUUAGUAUAUAUGUCAUAUAAAACAUUCAUUAAUGCCAAAGGCCAGGGCUGCUUCUUACUGUAUAGUUAAUUUACCUUUCA